GACCUGGAAGGCCAGAAAAGAGAAUUUAGACAUGUAAUAAUUUGUAAAUAGGAACAACAGUUGAACAAUGAGAGGGACACUUUCCCCUACUAUGAGAGUGCUAAUCAAGUGCUGCUCAUAGCCCUGGUGCCUACUGAACAGACCAUCUCUGGACAAGGGAGCAAGCUGUGGAGAAAGCAUGUGCUGGUUUUCAUGACUGCAAGUCCAGCUAGCUCAUUCUGUGGAAAAGCAGUUAGUUUCAAUGGGAGCAUGCAUCAGUGACUGCUGCUUUCCAGGUCCUAAAGCUGACACUGUGUGCCAAAAAGCUCUCACCACUGGAGCAAAUCCAUCUCAGCAUCUCCCAGCACUGUAAUGCACAAAGCAACACCGUGGGCAACAACUGCUCUCUAACAUCUGUGGCCCUUCACACCAAACAGUGCAGACAGUGCAGUACAGGAUUUGCUGGAAGAUGUGUUGGUGCUCUGAAGUCUACAUCAAGCCAAGCCAAGCAGAUCUUCAGUAGCUUUAAUGAACAGGCCACUAGUGAAACAGUGUUGUAACUCCGGGUUUAAAUAACACUUAGUAAAUGUUCUAACACACAAAGGAAUGCACACAUGUGGACAACAUCUGUUCACAAUUAUGCAUGUGUGACCCAGUUGGUUUGUAAAAUCCUUAUAAUGAUUUUGAAAUAAAGACCCAAAUUUUUAUCUGCAGGCAAGGAGGUACAGCACCAGCUGGCAGACUAACAUGCAUGUACUGUGAAGGAUAGCAGACUUGGCCAACUUAGAGGGUCCAGGUCAUAAAGUUUGCAAAACCUCAUUUGUGGGUCUUGAGUGGUCUGUAGAGCCACAGCUAGGAAAACAAAGAUCAUUUUUGUCCAUUUUUGAGACAAGAAAUCAAAUAGAUUCAAUUAGGAGAUAAAAUAUGCAAAAAUACAUUAACUCAUUAAAAGUAACAUAAAUUAUAUUGCAUUUGGGAAAUCUAAAUAUUUAUACAUUCUGUCCCACCACUACCAUUACAUAAUUGAUUUUACUGUUGCUUUAGGACAUUAAGCAAAAAGAAGACAUGAUAAAUCACUUGAAUUUUUCAUGAAAAUGUUGUUCCCAUUGCAACAGAGUUUUAGAAACUCAGAUCUAGCCCUAGAAGGAAGGAAAAGUAAAAUUCAAGCAACUCUGCCAUACAAGAGGUAUCUCAGAUUAUUGGUGACUGAAGAGCUACUACCAAGAAAUCUGAGGCAGCUACAGACAGAAAAAAAGGAACCAGAAGUUGCAGUAUUAAUAAUCUCCAAAGCACAUAUAAUUAAUGCCUACUUCAAAGUCAUUUUUACAGUUAUGCCAAGAGGUUUGCAGAUGGCAACCAAUCAGCUCUGUACUAAUGCCACUCUAAAAUACCUCCUAGAACUUCUAAGCUAAGUUACUCACAGUGUAAAUUAAUCAGUCACCAAGAUGAUGCAAAGCACAACU